rnacentral:rRNA from 1 species
UGGGGAAUAUUGCACAAUGGGCGCAAGCCUGAUGCAGCCAUGCCGCGUGUAUGAAGAAGGCCUUCGGGUUGUAAAGUACUUUCAGCGGGGAGGAAGGGAGUAAAGUUAAUACCUUUGCUCAUUGACGUUACCCGCAGAAGAAGCACCGGCUAACUCCGUGCCAGCAGCCGCGGUAAUACGGAGGGUGCAAGCGUUAAUCGGAAUUACUGGGCGUAAAGCGCACGCAGGCGGUUUGUUAAGUCAGAUGUGAAAUCCCCGGGCUCAACCUGGGAACUGCAUCUGAUGCUGGCAAGCUUGAGUCUCGUAGAGGGGGGUAGAAUUCCAGGUGUAGCGGUGGAAUGCGUAGAGAUCUGGAGGAAUACCGGUGGCGAAGGCGGCCCCCUGGACGAAGACUGACGCUCAGGUGCGAAAGCGUGGGGAGCAAACAGG